rnacentral:rRNA from 1 species
UGGGGAAUUUUGGACAAUGGGCGAAAGCCUGAUCCAGCAAUGCCGCGUGUGUGAAGAAGGCCUUCGGGUUGUAAAGCACUUUUGUCCGGAAAGAAAUCCUCUGGGUUAAUACCUCGGGGGGAUGACGGUACCGGAAGAAUAAGCACCGGCUAACUACGUGCCAGCAGCCGCGGUAAUACGUAGGGUGCAAGCGUUAAUCGGAAUUACUGGGCGUAAAGCGUGCGCAGGCGGUUUUGUAAGACGGAUGUGAAAUCCCCGGGCUUAACCUGGGAACUGCAUUCGUGACUGCAAGGCUAGAGUAUGGCAGAGGGGGGUAGAAUUCCACGUGUAGCAGUGAAAUGCGUAGAGAUGUGGAGGAAUACCGAUGGCGAAGGCAGCCCCCUGGGCCAAUACUGACGCUCAUGCACGAAAGCGUGGGGAGCAAACAGGAUUAGAUACCCUGGUAGUCCACGCCCUAAACGAUGUCAACUAGUUGUUGGGGAUUCAUUCCUUAGUAACGUAGCUAACGCGUGAAGUUGACCGCCUGGGGAGUACGGUCGCAAGAUUAAAACUUAAUGAAUUGACGGGGUCAUAGCUGUUUCCU